CAAAGGAGUCGUAGAAGAAAAAAAACAGUGUAAAACCAAAAUGAAUUUGUUUCUUCAGACAAGAGCAUAUUUCUAGUGUAGUCACAUUCCAGUAUGGGACACUGAACAAAAAGAUGAAGGAAGGAAGGAAGGAAGGAAGGAACGAAGGAAGGAAGGAAGGAAGGAAGGAACGAAGGAAGGAAGGAAGGAAGAGAAAGAAAGGAAGAGAAAGAAAGGAAGAGAAAGAAAGGAAGAGAAAGAAAGGAAGAAAAAAAGAAAGAAAAGAAAGAAAGAAAGAAAAGAAAGAAAGAAAGAAAGAAAGAAAGAAAGAAAGAAAGAAAGAAAGAAAGAAAGAAAGAAAGAAAGAAAGGAA
rnacentral:lncRNA from 1 species